rnacentral:lncRNA from 1 species
GAAAUCAUAAUGGUGGGUGUCAGGAACUGGGGGGAAGAGGCUGCAGGGGCUCCAGGCCUUUAGGAUGUUUAGAUUCCAUUGUGUCUUAGCCUUGUUUUAACCUACCUUGCCUCAUUCUGUCUCAUCAAUCAUAAUUUAAAUAUUUGUUUUCUCACAUCUCUUUGAUCUUUUCUGUAAAUUGAGGUCUUCGACAGAAUUUUAUGUAAAAAGAAUGCUGACAGUGGCAUUCACAUUUUAAAAAAAAUUCUCUCUGAUUAACACAUUUCUCUUUUGUGGCUGAACCACUCAUCAUAGGAGGAUUGUUCACUAGUCCUUUGCUUUCAACAGGCCUUAAGAUCAUCUGUGGGUUGUGUAACUGGAGAAUUGUGUCUGGGAGGGUUUGGGCUUCCUGGCUACAAAGCAUCUUCUCUCCCAUCUUGCAGUAGGUUGACCGUCUCUGCGCUGCCGAGCCACAGGCCUGGGUUCUGAGAGGUACCUUGCUCUCUUACAGCACCUCUUUCUGCGUCUGUUACAGCAAAGUGUUCAGAAGAACCAAUGUGUUUUCCCAAGAAAAAGAAAUCAGGAACCUGGUGUAUUGUGCCUGAUGCUUUAGGUAAACUAAUCCAAAUCAGUUAUCUUUCAUGAAUUUCACUGGGGGUUCCACUGCACAGCUUCAUAAGAAGCUCUGGUGUAUCAUAUCUCAAACCAAACUGCUUCAUCUUCUUCCUCCAAUUUAAGACGAGCAUCUUCAUGGAGACAGUGACUGAAACCACAGAGGUGCUCUCCAUCUCCAUCCUCGUUCUAUCACACAAGGAGGCCUGUGUGUGCUAACCUUGCAGAAUUUCUCCUCUCCAUAUUGUUCUUCAUCCUUAUGUUAUUAUCCCUCCAAUCCAUUCUUCUAAAAUCAUAGGGGUGAUCCUUCUAAAACACAAAGCUGAUCAUAUUAUACCCUUGUCAAAAGUACCAUUGCCUCUCGGAUUAAAUUCAAACUUCACAGCCUGCCGGGGACGUGAUUACCUGACUCCUGCCUACUUAAUUUCUUUAUUGCUGGUUAAAUCUCUUCUUAUUCAAGAUCUGUGCUCCAGCCAUGCCAAGUUUCUUGCAGUCGUCUUCACUUGCCAGGUUAACGAAUACCUAAAAGAACAAAAGUUCUGCAUUGAAGAUUCCUUGUGAAACACUCGGGGUUAUAGUUUGAAGUGAACCAAACAGCCGGCUCCUUGUUUGAGAAAACAGUUGCUUCACAGGUGAAUUGACUCCUCUUCGGCAGCCACUGGUUUGCUAAGGAUUUACUUUGAACAUUUCUCUGGUAAGUCACAGAGUCCUCGGGUUGAAGUAUAUUCUGAUGUGAGUCACAUCCAGAAAACUUGGGAAAGGGAAA